rnacentral:rRNA from 1 species
UACGUAUGGUGCAAGCGUUAUCCGGAUUUACUGGGUGUAAAGGGUGCGUAGGUGGCAAGGCAAGUCUGAAGUGAAAAUCCGGGGCUCAACCCCGGAACUGCUUUGGAAACUGUUUAGCUAGAGUACAGGAGAGGUAAGUGGAAUUCCUAGUGUAGCGGUGAAAUGCGUAGAUAUUAGGAGGAACAUCAGUGGCGAAGGCGACUUACUGGACUGCUACUGACACUGAGGCACGAAAGCGUGGGGAGCAAACAGG